rnacentral:rRNA from 1 species
UCGGAUUGGAUUCGGGCUCGGCCCGAUCCUCCCACCCUUUGUGUACCUACCUCUGUUGCUUUGGCGGGCCGCGGUCCUCCGCGGCCGCCCCCCCUCCCCGGGGGGGUGGCCAGCGCCCGCCAGAGGACCAUCAAACUCCAGUCAGUAAACGAUGCAGUCUGAAAAACAUUUAAUAAACUA